CGCGUGGCCAGUGAACGUUUGCGCGUGCGCGGCACAUCGGGGCCUGAUGCCCCCAUCUCAACCGUAGAUCCUCGUAAGAUCGAGAAGCGUAAAGAAGUAUUAUCCUCGAAGGUGGGAAAGAAAGAAAAAAAGAUGAAAGUUAACGAAGGAAACACGUAGCCA
rnacentral:lncRNA from 1 species